UAGCGGAGGGGUUCCACACGUACCCAUCCCGAACACGACCGUUAAGCCCUCCAGCGCCGAUGGUACUUGGACCGAAGGGUCCUGGGAGAGUAGGACGCCGCCAAGC
rnacentral:rRNA from 1 species